CCAGACUCCUACGGGAGGCAGCAGUGGGGAAUAUUGCACAAUGGGCGCAAGCCUGAUGCAGCGACGCCGCGUGGGGGAUGACGGCCUUCGGGUUGUAAACUCCUUUCGCUAGGGACGAAGCUUUUUGUGACGGUACCUAGAUAAGAAGCACCGGCUAACUACGUGCCAGCAGCCGCGGUAAUACGUAGGGUGCGAGCGUUGUCCGGAAUUACUGGGCGUAAAGGGCUCGUAGGUGGUUUGUCGCGUCGUCUGUGAAAUUCCGGGGCUUAACUCCGGGCGUGCAGGCGAUACGGGCAUAACUUGAGUACUGUAGGGGUAACUGGAAUUCCUGGUGUAGCGGUGAAAUGCGCAGAUAUCAGGAGGAACACCGAUGGCGAAGGCAGGUUACUGGGCAGUUACUGACGCUGAGGAGCGAAAGCAUGGGUAGCGAACAGGAUUAGAUACCCUGGUAGUCCAUGCCGUAAACGGUGGGCGCUAGGUGUGAGGGUCUUUUCACGACUUUCGUGCCGUAGCUAACGCAUUAAGCGCCCCGCCUGGGGAGUACGGCCGCAAGGCUAAAACUCAAAGGAAUUGACGGGGGCCCGCACAAGA
rnacentral:rRNA from 1 species